UUUACAUGGUUUCAUUUUCAAAAAACAUCAUAUUUUUGUUGUACUGCACAUUGCUGCAGCUCCUGUUUUACUCUAUUUCAACAGAGACUGUUGAGCUCUCUGUUUUAGCUACAGAGUGAAGCAUCUUACCGCUAUCCCAUCUUUGUUUGGAGUCACACAUGCGCAGUACCUAGGUAAGGACAACUAGCCACUUAGAUGCAGAGUAGGGCGGGCCCUGAUAGCAUGGUAGUGUGAUCCAAAACAAACAGAUCCGAUCUAGCAUCUAUCUACCGGUAACCAUGGCUUCAGCUCAGCCGUACAUGUUCCAACCAGAGUCUGAUCCCGAAACAGAACCCGAACCAGCUUCACAACCUAGACUGGAGCAAGAUGUUUCAGAGUGGUGUACUUGUGGAAAUUGCUCGACAAUGUCCACUGAAGUUGAAAACAUCUGUUGCCAAGAAAUACAAAUGGUUGUUACACAAAUGCAACAGGUUCCUGUCCCACCUACCUGCAUGGUUUACCAUCCAGACCUAGAGCCAACCUGUUUGAACCACUACACCCUGCGGAACAUCUACACUAUAUACAGAGCAGACUAUGGACCUUUGAGGUGUCGAACAGAA